AUGGCCGCGGAGGAGAAUGUUCGCUGCCUGGCCUUCUUGGCGAAGCCCUUCGUUGCUCCCUCGUCCAGCGCCGCGCCGGCGACGCCCUUUACCCCUUCCUCCUCCGCGGACAAGAAAUCGGUUUUUCUGUUCGAUUGAUGGUUGAUUAAAGGGGAAAGUGGGGUCGAGGCGAAAAGGUUGGCCGUCGGAGGGUGGUUUACGACGAGAUACUCGCGAACAGCAAGAACCUACUUAAGGUCAGAGGGCUUAUAAAAGGCAAAUCAGUGGUCUCAUCUAAAAUGAAACUCAAGAGUUUAAAAAAACUAUGAAGUUGCAAGCACUUGGCUGGAGACAGCAGAGAACAAACCAAAUUGCCUCAACUGUCUGGUGAAAGGUUUCACACAUACUUCUGAAGACCGUGCCUCUGUGAAAGGUGGCAUUAAGAAUGCAUCAACUGGCAGUCCGGCUCAGGAUCCCACUCUUGUAUCUAUCUCAUUAUACUUUCAGCUCAUCCAAAAGGGAAUUAGGUUCUGACAAUUUAAAAUGCAGCUUGCAGCCACCUCUUUAACCGAGCCGUGCUGCCACCAAGGAACUGGAAAAACAAAAUGAUGAGCUUGCUGUUGUUGAUCACAUUGCUACGGAGAAUGAUACUUGUUUAAAAGGAUCUCCUUGAUAUAUAACAAAAAAUGCAGUUCAAUUGUCAUGAAUCAGAUAAAUCAUUGGAAAUGAUUGGCAAGACGAUAACAGAUAAAAUGAAUGACCAAGAUGUAACUCUUUUAUAUAGUGCCAUUUAUGCAACUCUUUUCAUUGAGUUCAUUUUUCUCCUUAUUUACCAAUUAUGAUGAGAACAUUAGGCAACAUAAAGAAUUUUAUCUUUAUAAUAUUAAAGAAUUUUUUACUUUAGUCAUGUCUGUGCUCGUGUAUGGUUGCUUAAUCUGUCGGCCCUUGCUCAGGUAGAAAAGGACACGAGUGACUUCUUCCUCUUCGGACUCUUUUUCC